rnacentral:rRNA from 2 species
UUGACCUCGGAUCAGGUAGGGAUACCCGCUGAACUUAAGCAUAUCAAUAAGCGGAGGAAAAGAAACCAACAGGGAUUGCCCUAGUAACGGCGAGUGAAGCGGCAAGAGCUCAAAUUUGAAAUCUGGCCCCUCCGGGGUCCGAGUUGUAAUUUGCAGAGGAUGCUUCGGGUGCGGUCCCCAUCUAAGUGCCCUGGAACGGGCCGUCAUAGAGGGUGAGAAUCCCGUCUGGGAUGGGUGGCCGUGCCCGUGUGAAGCUCCUUCGACGAGUCGAGUUGUUUGGGAAUGCAGCUCUAAAUGGGUGGUAAAUUUCAUCUAAAGCUAAAUAUUGGCCGGAGACCGAUAGCGCACAAGUAGAGUGAUCGAAAGAUGAAAAGCACUUUGAAAAGAGAGUUAAACAGCACGUGAAAUUGUUGAAAGGGAAGCGCUUGCGACCAGACUCGCCCGCGGGGGUUCAGCCGGUACUCGUACCGGUGUAUUCCCCCGUGGGCGGGCCAGCGUCGGUUUGGGCGGCCGGUCAAAGGCCCCCGGAAUGUGUCGCCUCUCGGGGCGUCUUAUAGCCGGGGGUGCAAUGCGGCCAGCCUGGACCGAGGAACGCGCUUCGGCACGGACGCUGGCGUAAUGGU